rnacentral:misc_RNA from 1 species
AACGCACCUUGCGCCCCUUGGCUAUUCCGAGGGGCAUGCCUGUUUGAGUAUCAUGAACACCUCAACUCUCAUGGUUUGCCAUGAUGAGCUUGGACUUUGGGGGUUUUGCUGGCCUGUGGUCGGCUCCUCUCAAACAAAUCAGCUUUCCAGUGUUUGGCGGCGCCAUGGGUGUGAUAACUAUCUACGCUUGUGACCGUUUGCCAGAUAACCCUCUGCAAUGGGGGGUUUGCUGGAGCUCACAAAUGUCUCUCUUCAGUGGAGACAGCUUUUUGAACGUUCGAUCUCAAAUCAGGUAGGACUACCCGCUGAACUUAA